AGAAAAGCACCUAGUUGCAAUCCUUGAGUAAGUGUAUGAAUAGGUAUUUUAAGGAACACGUUCUAGCUUUAAUGGUAACCUGGACCCUUAAAAAUCUUCAGAGUAAAAGUAGUAUAAGUUUGUGUGGGAAUAAUUCUAAUGUGAUGAAAUGUGUAAACCGAAAUGGGGCAGAAGGAUAUCACGAGCACGUGGAGGAAAGGAUACCCUCUCACUGACUUCCUAAAUGUGGUGAUGACUUCUCAAACAAAUUGUGCUUGAAUUAAACCCUCUAAAAAAGAGGAACUUCCUAAGUGAAGUAAACAAGUUGUAGCACUACUUAGGGUGAUCAUAGAAACUUGGAGAAAAGGAUACCCCCUCACGGACAUCCAAUGUGAAAUGAUAUCCCCUAGGCAUCUACAAGCCCCCAAAUGUAUAAAUUCAUCAAAUCUAUCUUAACUCUCCCACCUCUCUUAUAUGAAAUGAAGAAAAGAUUUUUCUCGGUCAUUUUAGUGUCAAGAUUAGAACCUGUUCCUCAUAAUAUCUAUCUUAUACAGGAGCAAGAAAAGGGUUGGACUACACACACACACUCACUUGAGAUUUGUUGUUGGGUUGAAUAAGUUUACAAGGAAUACUUGAAGUUACGAUUAGUGUGCAUUGAAAUAAGUCCUCGAGGGAGACAUAAGCUUUUAUUUAAAUUGUCAUAUAUUAAUCCUUU
rnacentral:lncRNA from 1 species